rnacentral:rRNA from 1 species
AAAAGCUCGUAGUUGGAUCUCAGCUCCGGCCGGACGGUCCGCCUACCGGUGGUUACUGUUCGUCGCCGAGCGUUCAGGCGGUUAUUCUUGAUGAUCUUCACCGGUUGUCUCGGGUGACCGCCAAGUUUACUUUGAAAAAAUUAGAGUGCUCAAAGCAGGCGCGACGCCUGAAUAAUUGUGCAUGGAAUAAUGGAAUAGGACCUCGGUUCUAUUUUGUUGGUUUUCGGAACACGAGGUAAUGAUUAAGAGGGACAGACGGGGGCAUUCGUAUUGCGACGCUAGAGGUGAAAUUCUUGGACCGUCGCAAGACGAACUACUGCGAAAGCAUUUGCCAAGAAUGUUUCCAUUAAUCAAGAACGAAAGUUAGAGGUUCGAAGGCGAUCAGAUACCGCCCUAGUUCUAACCAUAAACGAUGUCAGCCAGCAAUCCGCCUGUGUUCCUCAAAUGACACGGCGGGCGGCUUCCGGGAAACCAAAGCUUUUGGGUUCCGGGGGAAGUAUGGUUGCAAAGCUGAAACUUAAAGGAAUUGACGGAAGGGCACCACCAGAAAUGGAGCCUGCGGCUUAAUUUGACUCAACACGGGAAAACUUACCCGGCCCGGACACAGGAAGGAUUGACAGAUUAAGAGCUCUUUCUUGAUUCUGUGGGUGGUGGUGCAUGGCCGUUCUUAGUUGGUGGGGCGACUUGUCUGGUUAAUUCCGAUAACGAACGAGACUCUAGCCUACUAAAUAGACGUUCCGAUCCUCUUUUGUCGGACGUUCUUCUUAGAGGGACAAGCGGCGUUUAGCCGCACGAGACAGAGCAAUAACAGGUCUGGGAUGCCCUUAGAUGUCCGGGGCCGCACGCGCGCUACAUUGAAGGAAUCAGCGUGUGCUUUCCCUGUCCGACAGGACUGGGUAACCCGUUGAACCUCCUUCGUGCUGGGGAUUGGAGAUUGUAAUUGUCCUCCAUGAACGAGGAAUUCCCAGUAAGCACGAGUCAUCAGCUCGUGUUGAUUACGUCCCUGCCCUUUGUCCACACCGCCCGUCGCUACUACCGAUUGAAUGAUUUAGUGAGGUCUUCGGACUGGCGCUCGGAUUGGCCUUCGCGGUCGAGCCGGUGUGCCGGAAAGAUGACCAAACUUGAUCAUUUAGAGGAAGUAAAAGUCGUAACAAGGUUUU